CCAGCAGCCGCGGUAAUUCCAGCUCCAAUAGCGUAUAUUAAAGUUGUUGCAGUUAAAAAGCUCGUAGUUGAAAUUGAGGANGUCCUAGUUCGUCUNGUACNUUGAAUGCGUGCUUUNGGUGUUAAGNANAACCGGCUAGUUUACUUUGAAAAAAUUAGAGUGCUUAAAGCAGGCUUUCGCUUGUAUAUUGUUGCNUGGAAUAAUGAAAUACGACUGUGGUAUUAUGUUGGUGGUCUUC
rnacentral:rRNA from 1 species